rnacentral:rRNA from 1 species
GAGACAGCAGCAGCCACGGGAAUACAGAGGGUGCGAGCGUUAAUCGGAUUUACUGGGCGUAAAGCGUGCGUAGGCGGCUUCUUAAGUCGGAUGUGAAAUCCCUGAGCUUAACUUAGGAAUUGCAUUCGAUACUGGGAAGCUAGAGUAUGGGAGAGGAUGGUAGAAUUCCAGGUGUAGCGGUGAAAUGCGUAGAGAUCUGGAGGAAUACCGAUGGCGAAGGCAGCCAUCUGGCCUAAUACUGACGCUGAGGUACGAAAGCAUGGGGAGCAAACAGGAUUAGAUACCCCUGUAGUCCCUGUCUCUUAUAC